UAUGGGGUAAACUAACGAAGUUUUAAGAUUCAUACUCUUACCAUGGUUUAAUCGCCCUCCAUAA
rnacentral:tRNA from 1 species